UGACAGUUGAUAGACAAGGAAUUUGAGGCU
rnacentral:piRNA from 1 species